CUACUUUCUCUACUUGAGAGCACAUUCUCUGUAGCAGUCUUAGAGGAGGAUGGAGCUGUAUCUGGAAGGGAGGUAGACUGCAAGCACUCACUGCCUUAAAUCCAUUCAUGUUUAUCUACUUCAAGAAAACAGAUGGAUCUCUCUGCUAUCCAUGGUUGGCAGGGGUGCAUGGGUGCUAUACACAGCUGCACUGAAUGAGCUUAUAUUUUUGGAAGGCAUGGGUUAAAAAGUCACUCCUCAAAAUAAUACGAAAGUGGCAACACCAUCCCAUCAUUGCCUCUUUCAUAAUCGAUGAAGAAGAUGCAGCUAUGUGGGGGGUGGCACAGAGGAUCCCAGGAGCAUGUCAACCAUCAUGAGGUCCAUCUUUAACUUGGUGAGUACAGAAGACCUCCCCCAUCCCCUCUAAUGUGGAGUGGAGCACCCUAUGAAGGGAUUCCAGAGCUGUCCUAUGGGCACAGUCUUGUCCUGAUUACCUCCUUGCCAGUGAUCAGACAUGAUGGAGGUGAAUGUGACUUGUUUGGAUUGCUGGACACCUGGUUCUGCUGCUACAGACCAAGGAGAGGAAAAAGCUUCUCCUGGAGUAACCACUGCUCUUGCAGUUGUCCUGAUCUUCACCAUUGUUGUGGACAUCCUGGGCAAUGUAUUGGUCAUCCUUUCAGUCUUCAGGAACAAGAAGCUCCAGAAUGCUG